rnacentral:rRNA from 1 species
GACUACUAGGGUAUCUAAGCCCGUUCGCUACCCUAGCUUUCGCCUCUCAGCGUCAGGUACAGGCCAGGAAGUCGCCUUCGCCACUGGUAUUCCUCCUAGUAUCUGAGCAUUCCACCGCUACACUAGGAAUUCCACUUCCCUCUCCUGCCCUCUAGCUGCCUAGUUUUGGACGACCUCUCUCAGUUAAGCCGAGAGCUGUCACGCCCAACUUUUGCUGCCGCCUACUUGCCCUUUACGCCCAGUAAAUCCGGAUAACGCUCGCCUCCUACGUUUUACCGCGGCUGCUGGCACGUAGUUAGCCGAGACUUAUUCCUGGGGUACCGUCCUUACUCUUCCCCCAGAAAAGGGCUUUACGACCCGAAGGCCUUCAUCGCCCACGCGGCGUUGCUGCAUCAGGGUUUCCCCCAUUGUGCAAUAUUCCUUACUGCAGCCCCCCGUAGG